GAGGAGCUCCGUCCGUGCCUCAUCCCGCCCCCGCCCCAGCCCCAGCCCUCGACUCCCAGCCCCUGUCCAGUCAGGUGAGGCGCCCAGAGUACCUCGUGAGCAGCACCAUCGCCUUGCUGACAGUGACUUGUGUGUCCCCCAGGAACUCACGACGACGAUGUUGUGGAGCCGGUGGGAGUGAGAAGACUGAGGCAAGCCCCGGCUGGGGACAUGAGGACGAGGCGGCCCCAGUACCUGAGGUGGAGGUGGAGGAGGAGGCGGGCCAGCCCCGUGAAAAUGGCCAGGAGGAGUCCUUAGCCAUCGCCUGGGCUGAGCCGGAAGACGAGCCUGGCCCCAAGGUGGACGGGGCGGACGAUGAAAUCUCUUGGAGCUUGGAGAGUGUGUGUGAGAGCGACCUCGCUGACAGCAACCUCGCAGAAAGUGAUCGAGACUCGGUGGCGGAGCGCACCGACUGCCGCCAGGAUGAGGAGGCUGCAGACUGUUGCUUUGGGAGCAAAGGAUCGUGCUUCAAAAGUCUGAGGACAAGUUUGUCCUCUGCGAGCUUGGCUAGAAUAAUUCCCCGGUGGCCACACAACAGGGUGCACCUUGCCACUGAGCCAGAUGAAGCAACGCACGCCGACGAUGUUGUGGAGGCCGGUGGGAGUGAGAAGACCGAGGCAAAGCCCCGGGCUGGGGGACAUGAGGACGAGGCGGCCCCAGUACCUGAGGUGGAGGAGGAGGAGGAGGCGGGCCGGCCCCUUGAAAAUGGCCAGGAGGAGUCCCCAGCCAUCGCCUGGGCCGAGCCGGAAGACGAGCCUGGCCCCAAGGUGGACGGGGCGGACGAUGAAAUCUGUGAGUAUUCUGGAGCCCGGCUCUGCUGAGGAGAAGUCCAGGUGUUGAGGAAAUGGGGGGGGGGCCCGCGAGGGAGGCGGGGUGGGGGGGCUCUCCUGCUCCUUUGGUUGCAGAGACACCCUGAUUCUGGGUUCCUCCUGGGAAUGAGGGUGAAGGAUGGGGUGAAAGAGACGGACUUCCCAAGAAGGGCCACCCCAGGUUCUAGGGUCCCUGGACGAAAGGAGGCUCUUUGUAUGGCGUGGGUAGGUGUCGGGGGACACGGCCGGG
rnacentral:lncRNA from 9 species